rnacentral:rRNA from 1 species
GAUGAACGCUGACAGAAUGCUUAACACAUGCAAGUCAACUUGAAUUUGGGUUUUUAACUUAGAUUUGGGUGGCGGACGGGUGAGUAACGCGUAAAGAACUUGCCUCACAGCUAGGGACAACAUUUAGAAAUGAAUGCUAAUACCUGAUAUUAUGGUUAUAGGGCAUCCUAUAAUUAUGAAAGCUAUAAGCACUGUGAGAGAGCUUUGCGUCCCAUUAGCUAGUUGGAGAGGUAACAGCUCACCAAGGCGAUGAUGGGUAGCCGGCCUGAGAGGGUGAACGGCCACAAGGGGACUGAGACACGGCCCUUACUCCUACGGGAGGCAGCAGUGGGGAAUAUUGGACAAUGGACCGAGAGUCUGAUCCAGCAAUUCUGUGUGCACGAUGAAGUUUUUCGGAAUGUAAAGU